rnacentral:rRNA from 1 species
CAGCAGCCGCGGUAAAACGAAGGGUGCAAGCGUUACUCGGAAUUACUGGGCGUAAAGCGUGCGUAGGUGGUGGUUUAAGUCCGUUGUGAAAGCCCUGGGCUCAACCUGGGAAUUGCAGUGGAUACUGGGUCACUAGAGUGUGGUAGAGGAUAGUGGAAUUUCCGGUGUAGCAGUGAAAUGCGUAGAGAUCGGAAGGAACAUCUGUGGCGAAGGCGACUAUCUGGGCCAACACUGACACUGAGGCACGAAAGCGUGGGGAGCAAACAGGAUUAGAUACCCCGGUAGUCCCUGUCUCUUAUAU